AGUGAACGCUGGCGGUAGGCCUAACACAUGCAAGUCGAACGGCAGCACAGUAAGAGCUUGCUCUUACGGGUGGCGAGUGGCGGACGGGUGAGGAAUACAUCGGAAUCUACUUUUUCGUGGGGGAUAACGUAGGGAAACUUACGCUAAUACCGCAUACGACCUACGGGUGAAAGCAGGGGAUCUUCGGACCUUGCGCGAUUGAAUGAGCCGAUGUCGGAUUAGCUAGUUGGCGGGGUAAAGGCCCACCAAGGCGACGAUCCGUAGCUGGUCUGAGAGGAUGAUCAGCCACAAUGGAACUGAGACACGGUCCAGACUCCUACGGGAGGCAGCAGUGGGGAAUAUGGGACAAUGGACGCAAGCCUGAUCCAGCCAUACCGCGUGAGUGAAGAAGGCCUUCGGGUUGUAAAGCCGUUUUGUUGGGAAAGAAAAGAAGCAGGUUAAUACCCCGCUGUUCUGACGGUACCCAAAGAAUAAGCACCGGCUAACUUCGUG
rnacentral:rRNA from 1 species